rnacentral:ncRNA from 1 species
CAGCGGGGAAAGAAGACCCUGUUGAGCUUGACUCUAGUUUGACAUUGUGAAAAGACAUAGGGGGUGUAGAAUAGGUGGGAGCUUCGGCGCCGGUGAAAUACCACUACCCUUAUCGUUUUUUUACUUAAUCAAUGAAGCGGAACUGGUCUUCACCGACCAUAUUCUGGCGUUAAGGUCCCUCGCGGGCCGAUCCGGGUUGAUGACAUUGUCAGGUGGGGAGUUUGGCUGGGGCGGCACAUCUGUUAAACCAUAACGCAGGUGUCCUAAGGGGAGCUCAUGGAGAACAGAAAUCUCCAGUAGAGCAAAAGGGCAAAAGCUCCCUUGAUUUUGAUUUUCAGUGUG